UUCCUAUUAUGUAGUUGAGAAAACAAAAUGGAGGCCCAUUUCUUCUAGUUAGAUAACAGUUUCUUUGUUCUUUUCUAAAUAUAUUUCCAUAUUUAUCAUUCCAUCUGCACAAGAAAAAUAAGAUCAAAAUGAAAAAAUGAGAAAGAAAAAACAAGCAAGCAAACGACAAGAACACCACCACCAACAAAGAUACAAGUAAGAAGUUUUCCAAAUCAACAGUGAAAAUUACAAGAAAAUACAGAUUUUGAAGAGGAGGGGAAAGACUUUACUUUUAAUCUGAGCAUACAGCAAGAAGUUAAGUUCAAAUAGUAAAGCAUUGUUUUCUAAAAUGAUUACUGAGGAAGACAUAUGGAACUUGUCAGCAUUAAGCAAGACUGGGACCAUGUUCCUGACACAAUCUAUCUUUCAUUAUUUAAAACUUUGAAUUAACAGCAUAUCCAGGAAUAAACAAUAUACCAUUGAUCAUGCCCUGGCAGCAAAACAGUGUUUACUCAACUCUGGAAAUAUUAAAUCAUCAGGGUAGAGAGGGAUCUUGAAAAUACUAAGGAUAUUAUUUUCUCAUCACAAAUGUGUAAAGGAAUAAUUUACUAUCUGAUCAAAAUUCAUACCCAGGAUUUCUAGUAACACCUCAAAGAAAUGGGAUUACAAAGGCCAAGUCUUCAUUUGAAGGGCCUAUAAUAUUGAUCCCCUUGGAAACAAAGCCAGGAUUGCCAUCUACGGUAAUCAUCACAGGAAUUCUUUGCAGUCCAGUGAAAACAGAAGGCACUACAGUAGCCGGGUGACUUCAUAGCAGUUAAGUGAUAAAUGUUUUGUUAUACUCAAAAUAGCAAGAGAUAGUGUGAGCCACUUGCUCAAUUCAGUGCAUCAAAAUAAAACCAAU